rnacentral:tRNA from 1 species
GGAGGUAUAGCUGAGUUGUACAGUGCAUGCUUUGUAUGUAUGAGACCCUGGGUCAAAUCCCCAGCUCUU